rnacentral:lncRNA from 1 species
UUGAGGCAACAGAAUAUUAAUGGAUUCAGAAAAGGGUCCUUUUCUCAUCUCAUGAAUAGUUUCUGUAUGAAAAAAACUGCAUCAGAUAACCAAGACAAACACUUAUCUGAACCACAUUUUUGCCUGCAUGGGCGUGUGAAAGACAAGCAUCCCACUUAGUGUUUUUGCUAGUUGAAGGAUGGGAGAGUUCCAAUAUUGACAUUCCAACUCGAAGUCUCAAGUUUCUAUUACUAGACCAGGAGCAGAAAUACACCUAGAACAGCAUUCCCUGAUGCCGAAAAAUUGAAUGAGAGGAAAGGAAAGGGAAAAGGAAGC